rnacentral:rRNA from 1 species
UACGAGGGGGGGCUAGCGUUGUUCGGAUUUACUGGGCGUAAAGCGCACGUAGGCGGUUUGUUAAGUCAGGGGUGAAAUCCCGGAGCUCAACUCCGGAACUGCCUUUGAUACUGGCAAGCUAGAGUCCGGAAGAGGUAAAGUGGGAACUCCUAAGUGUAGAGGUGGAAUUCGUAGAUAUUAGGAAGAACACCAGUGGCGAAGGCGGCUUACUGGUCCGGAACUGACGCUGAGGUGCGAAAGCGUGGGGAGCAAACAGG